rnacentral:rRNA from 1 species
AUUGAACGCUGGCGGCAUGCCUUACACAUGCAAGUCGAACGGUAACGCGGGGCAACCUGGCGACGAGUGGCGAACGGGUGAGUAAUGCAUCGGAACGUGCCCAGUAGUGGGGGAUAGCCCGGCGAAAGCCGGAUUAAUACCGCAUACGACCUACGGGUGAAAGCGGGGGACCGUAAGGCUUCGCGCUAUUGGAGCGGCCGAUGUCAGAUUAGGUUGUUGGUGGGGUAAAAGCCUACCAAGCCGACGAUCUGUAGCUGGUCUGAGAGGAUGACCAGCCACACUGGGACUGAGACACGGCCCAGACUCCUACGGGAGGCAGCAGUGGGGAAUUUUGGACAAUGGGGGCAACCCUGAUCCAGCCAUGCCGCGUGCGGGAAGAAGGCCUUCGGGUUGUAAACCGCUUUUGUCAGGGAAGAAACGCUCUGGGCUAAUACCCCGGGGUAAUGACGGUACCUGAAGAAUAAGCACCGGCUAACUACGUGCCAGCCGCCGCGGUAAGAC